CAGACGUUUCUUGUAGUUGGCCACGAGGUUUGCCCACAUCUCAGGAGGGAUUUUGUCCCACUCCUCUUUGCAGAUCUUCUCCAAGUCAUUAAGGUUUCGAGGCUGACGUUUGGCAACUCAAACCUUCAGCUCCCUCCACAGAUUUUCUAUGGGAUUACGGUCUGGAGACUGGCUAGGCCACUCCAGGACCUUAAUGUGCUUCUUCUUGAGCCACUCCUUUGUUGCCUUGGCCGUGUGUUUUGGGUCAUUGUCAUGCUGGAAUACCCAUAUAAGACCCAUUUUCAAUGCCCUGGAUGAGGGAAGGAGGUUCUCACCCAAGAUUUGACGGUACAUGGCCCCGUCCAUCAUCCCUUUGAUGCGGUGAAGUUGUCCUGUCCCCUUAGUAGGAAAACACCCCCAAAGCAUAAUGUUUCCACCUCCAUGUUUGACGGUGGAGAUGGUAUUCUUGGGGUCAUAGGCAGCAUUCCUCCUCCUCCAAACACGACGAGUUGAGUUGAUGUCAAAGAGCUCCAUUUUGGUCUCAUCUGACCACAACACUUUCACCAGUUGUCCUCUGAGUCAUUCAGACGUUCAUUGGCAAACUUCAGACGGGCAUGUAUAUGUAUUCUUGAGCAGGGGGACCUUGCGGCGCUGCAGGAUUUCAGUCCUUCACGGUGUAGUGUGUUACCAAUUGUUUUCUUGGUGACUAUGGUCCCAGCUGCCUUGAGAUCAUUGACAAGAUCCUCCCGUGUAGUUCUGGGCUAAUUCCUCACCGUUCUCAUGAUCAUUGCAACUCCACGAGGUGAGAUCUUGCAUGGAGCCCCAGGCCGAGGGAUAUUGACAGUUCUUUUGUGUUUCUUCCAUUUGCGAAUAAUCGCACCAAAUGUUGUCACCUUCUCACCAAGCUGCUUGGCGAUGGUCUUGUAGCCCAUUCCAGCCUUGUGUAGGUCUACAAUCUUGUCCCAGACAUCCUCGGAGAGCUUUUUGGUCUUGGCCAUGGUGGAGAGUUUGGAAUCUGAUUGAUUGAUUGCUUCUGUGGACAGCUGUCUUUUUUACAGAUGGUGUUAAAGCACUCCGUACCAGUGAUAGUGGUCCAAAGCCACUGCUCCUGUGUUGCAGGAAGUGCUCUGUGUAUGCAGACCAUGGAGAUGAAGAGGG
rnacentral:lncRNA from 1 species